rnacentral:rRNA from 1 species
CGCGCAGGCGGCCUCUUAAGUCUGAUGUGAAAGCCCCCGGCUCAACCGGGGAGGGCCAUUGGAAACUGGGAGGCUUGAGUAUAGGAGAGAAGAGUGGAAUUCCACGUGUAGCGGUGAAAUGCGUAGAGAUGUGGAGGAACACCAGUGGCGAAGGCGGCUUUCUGGUCUGUAACUGACGCUGAGGCGCGAAAGCGUGGGGAGCAAACAGGAUUAGAUACCCUGGUA